GGGCCCCCAAAAUUGCUUUGCCCCAGGCCCCCUGAAUCCUCUGGGUGGCCCUGAAAUGUAGUAGUUGAAACUGUCUGAUCUAGCUAACCAGCAGGGAAGUUAUACUGUCUCUUUUAAGUGUGAAGCAAGCACCCAGUGUUGUUUUAAUGGAGCUAUUCUUUGCUAUUGAUGACUUUUCCUGUUUUCUUUUGGGGGAGCCAGCAGAGGGAGAACACGGACUGAGUGGU